rnacentral:lncRNA from 1 species
UUGUAUGCAUCAAUUUUACUGUUUUUUUUUUCCUUUUUAAUCUUUGGAUCGAAUCAUUGCUUAGUUCUUGCUUAAUUUCUCCAUUUUAUGGUGGGUCUUUGAUUGCAGGUUUAGCUCUGCGCGAGAACUGGGAAAUUUAAUUGUGACCUCCAAUCUAAUCGACUCUGCUUUGACUAAAAUUCUUGAGCUUCAAAGAGACCAAACAGCCUUGCCUUCCCCCGUUCAAUACAGAGUUUUUUAUCCAUCUCCCAAGUGCACAAUUGUAGCUUUUGUCUCUUCACCUGACUGCACUCAAAACCCUCUUCCUGGACAAGGAGAUUUAGUUCCCUCUCCUCUCUUUGACUUCCUCUGCACCGAAGAAUACCCUUCCGUCUCCAUUAACGGAGCCGCAUUAACCCUCUUUACCUCUCUCUACGAUCAUCUCUCUGGACUAAUAGAUGAGGUCAAAAUCUGAUACUUGUUUUAAUUUACGUUAACUUUUCGUUAACAAUUGUGAGACACGAAACAGCUUGACCAUGAGAUCUCCCUCAUGGAGUCAAAACCCGUGUUGGUAUCUGUUUUUAGAUCAACUUAUAUAUAUAUAUAUAUAUAUAUAUAUAUAUCUUGUGGAUAAAAGGAAAGUUUACAAGUGAGAAUAGUGGCAUUUUUCUGACAGAUUUCACACCGUUGCUUGUUUUGCAGUUGACUGUGAUUGAAGGUCGAUUAAUCAUCACUGGGCACUCGAUGGGAGGAUCCGUUGCUUCUCUCUUCACCUUAUGCCUGCUAGAAGUCAUUAAUAUAUCAAAACCCAAAUGCCGCCCCAUUUGCAUCACCUUUGGUUCACCCCUCAUAGGCGACUUUGGCCUCCAACACUCCAAUUGGAAUUCUUUCUUCUUGCAUGUAGUGUCCAACCAAGAUCUAGUCCCCGGACUCUUCCUCCCAUCCGGCAGAUCUCCUCCCACAUCCUCCCAUUCACAAACUACUGGUUACAAGCCCUUUGGGACAUAUCUCUUGUGCUCUGAACUUGGUUGUGCUUGUUUUGACAACCCUGAUUUAAUUUUGGAAUUGCUGAAAGUCAUAUCAUCAGAGGUUGCCGGAGGAUUGCGGGAUGUUGAUUACAGGAAGAUUUUAAUAAACCUCAAGGAGAGGGCAAUCUUCAAGGGACUUCAGCAGGUGGGUGAAAGGUUUGCAGAUCCCUUGUCAGCUGGGAUCGUCAUGGACCUUGAGAUAAUUGGAUUUGAUCAAACAAAGGUAAACAGCUUUCUCCCAAUUAAUGAUGUAGUAUGGUUUACACUCAACUUCACCAAAACCUGCAACAACUGCCCUAUUUAGAUUUGCCUUCCUGUUCUUUGGGUUCUUCUAUAACUUCUCAUUUUUUAAAUUCAUGGCAGCUGUUGCGGCACAACAUUGAUAUCAACACUGUGAUAAGGAUACUGGGAGUGGAAGCCAGAAUCCUAGCCCACAAAAAUAAAGCUUCUGAUGCCAAGAAACUGAAUGACAUAAAAAUACACAUGGCCCAGCUAGAAUGGUAUAAGAAGAAAUCAAAAGAUCUGAACAAGGGUUACUACGACUGCUUCAAAAACCAGGGGUCAAAAAGGGACAUUAAAAUUGAACAGUAUAGGGGACACCUCACAAUAUACUGGAAAGACAUGGUUGCACAAGUACAGAGGAAGCCCCAGAAGGAAGGAGCAUCAUUUCGAACCAGUUGGCUCUAUCCAGGGACAACUUAUAGAAGAAUGGUUGAACCACUGGACAUUGCUGCCUUCUACAGAGAGGGUAGAACAGACUACAUAAACAAUGGAAGAUCUCCUCAUUACAAGCUGUUGCAGCAAUGGUAUGAGGAAGAUGUGAAGCCCCCAUCCAGAGAUAAGCUCGAUUCCAAGAAACUAAAGGUGUCUGGUAUCCUAACUGAGGAUUCUUUGUUUUGGGCACAUGUGGAGGAGGCUCUCUUGUCAUGCGAAUCGCUCAAGAGUGCAAACUCUACUCUUGAGCAGAGAAAAUCAUCAUGGGAUAAUCUGGUUAAGUUUGGGGAGUAUGUAAUGGAACAGAUUGGAAACUAUGCAGUGUCCCCUGAGAUUUUCUUGGGGGAAAGCAGCUUCAUGAAAUGGUGGGGAGUGUAUGAGGACUACAUAGAUGCUUCCAAUAAUUCCUAUGGGUCACCAUUGAUCAGCUUUAUGAAGAACCGUAGUUAUAGACUGUAUGGUUAGAGGGCAAUCCAGUUUGUGUAUUGUGUUUAUUGUAUUGUGAGCAUUCAAUAGAUAAAACUAGAAAGAGCGUGACCUUUUUAUGACAACUUUAGAAACCAGGGGUUAAAAGAGACAUUACAAACUGAAGUUUUUGAGAGGAAACCUCAAGAGUAUACUGGGAAGCCAUGGUGGAACAAGUAGAGAGGAAGCCUCAGAAGGAAGGAGCAAUGGUUGAACCACUUGACAUUGUUGCCUACUACAGGGAGGGUGUAAGAAACAACAUAACCGAGGGAAGAUCUGAACGUUAAACGUUGUCCAAUUAUUAUAAAUGUCUUAUACAUUACGUGUGAAAAUACCAAAAAAAAUUAUAUUCAACAUUUAUGUUUGUAUACAAGCAAUAUUUUGGAUAGUUUGAUAUAAAAAACAAAUGAAGAAAAUGAAGAAAAACAUACAAAUAUAUUUACAAUGGACAAACUUAUACAAUUAGUAUAAAUGUCUUGUAUAUUUAGUACAAAUGUCUCGUACUUUGUAAAAAUAUAAAAAUAUAGUAUUUGACUUUUAUAUAUGUGUGAAAAUGUAAAAAGAAAAAGAAAAAUAGUUAGAGCAUUUGGUACCGUGAGUGAUGACUUCACCUAAAGAAAGGUUAAUGAAUAUUAUGGUCUCGAUGGAAGAGCGACUCCGGUAAAAUAUAUGGAUUAAAUUGAUGCUUUUCUUUUGACGAUGAAGUAGUUGAGUUAUGAAUACGAGGUUUUGCUAACAGCAUUGAAGGCAAGGAUUCCCUAAUAUACUCCAAUUCAUAUUCAAUUUGUAGACCUUCAACUAACUACUCUUGCUAACGAGCAUAUCCAAGUCAAUACAUAAGAUUAAUUAAGAUUAAGUAUUACGUAUGAUAAUUGAAACCCUAUUUAAAUAAAUAAUGACACAUAUAUAAAAAAUAUAUAUAUUUUUAAAAAAAUAAAUAACAAUUUAGAGAAUUUCAUAACUUAGCAUCAAACCUAUUGUAAGAAAGAGUAUUAUACAAUGUAGGGUUUAGGAUCCAAGUCAACCUAAGAUCAAAUUUAAGUUUUAAGAUCAAUUCACAUUCAAAACUAAGGUUUUAAGUUUCAAAAAUAUAUUUCUUAAACCAAUUAAAUGGAAAAAAGAAAAUUACAAAGAAAAUUUCUCCCUCAUCAGUUUCUUUUAUCUUGAAAACUAAAGGAAAUAUAUAUCAAUAUUUGAGAUGGAAAUUCAUAAUCUUAGGUGGUGUUUGUUUUUUUGGCUUUUUGCUGAAAACUAUUUAGUUUUAGAAUUUAGGUUUUUUUUUUUUUUUACUUUUUCAUGACUUAUAAUAAACUUUUUACUAAAUAGAAAAAACCAAAAUAUGUGGUUUUUUCUAAAUAGAAAAAAUAACACAAUGGUUUUUUUUACUUUUUAAUACUUAAUAGAAAUAAAAUACUACAAAAACAAACAUCUUAAUAUUUAAUACUAUUAAGUAUUAAGGUUCUAUUUAGAAUUAAGUAAAAAAACAAACACCACCUUAGAAACACAAAGAACAAAGAGAGUAUGAAGAGACCAUACCAUGAGAGAUUUUCCGAAAGGUUGGUAAACCAUGGUAAUCACCUUUGAGUCUUGCUGAGAAAAACAAACCUUAUUUAUUUUUAUUUUUUUAUCAUUUUUUCUCUUGUGUGGUGUACAUUUAAGAAAAACAAAUCUCAAAAAAAAAAAAAAACACAAACCAAAUAAUGCCAGAAUUUGGGUUGAGAAACACCCAAAAGAUAGUGGCCCAAUACAUGUGCCUAAGAAAAUCUUCAUGAGCCGAUAAACAUAGUCACAAAACUAGUAACAGCCUUGUAGCCAUAGUUGGUGUAGUAUGAGCAAGUGGGGUAUGAAGUAGGUAGGUGAGUAUUGCAAUGAAAUUUCCAGCACUGCUUCCUGAAUUAAGAAAUCACAUACCCAAGUCUUAGUCGUCGUCGUCGUCGUACCGUGUGAGAACCGGGAAGAAUCUUUGCUCGUAGACUGGCUUUUGUAGUCUUUCUUUAACAAUUACAAGUUAUCUGAAUUCCCUUCAUCCUCCUAUAUAAUAUUGUUUUGGUCUUGUUCUUGUUGCAUUGUGGCUAGGCAUCUCCAUGGAAGGAAGGAGGAUGAAUCAAGUUCCUUUGUAUGAAUCAAUUUCUCUGCUCUUUUUUUUUUUCAAUCCUUGAAUCGAAUCAUUGCUUAGUUCUUGCUUUAAUUUCUCCAUUUUCUGUUGGGUCUUUGAUUGCAGGUUUAGCUCUGCAAGAGAACUGGGAAAUUUAAUUGUGACCUCCAAUCUAAUCGACUCUGCUUUGACUAAAAUUCUUGAGCUUCAAAGAGACCAAACAGCCUUGCUUUCCCCCGUUCAAUACAGAGUUUUUUUAUCCAUCUCCCAACUGCACAAUUGUAGCUUUUGUCUCUUCACCUGACUGCACUCAAAACCCUCUUCCUGGACAAGGAGAUUUAGUUCCCUCUCCUCUCUUUGACUUCCUCUGCACCGAAGAAUACAAGUCCGUCUCCAUUAACAGAGCUGCAUUAACCCUCUUUACCUCUCUCCACGAUCAUCUCUCUGGACUAAAAACUCAGGUCAAAAUAUGAUAGUUGUUUUUAUUUUCGUUUCCUUUUUGUUAACAAUUGUGAGACAUGAAACAGCUUGACCAUGAGAUCUCUCUCAUAGAGUCAAACUACCUGAAGAAGAAGAAGACGUUACACAUAUCCAUCUGCGUUGCAUCAUCGCAUUACCCAUUGAUCGGUUGUGAUUCAACUCUUAAUAGGAAGACAGUAGAACUGGUGUUGGUAUCUGUUUUUAGAUCAGCUUAUAUGUAUCUUGUUGCUAAAAAGGGAAUGUUUAGAAGUGAGAUUAAUGGGAUUAUUCUGACAUGGAUUUCAUAUGGUUACCUGUUUUGCAGUUGACUGUGAUUGAAGGUCAAUUAAUCAUCACUGGGCACUCCCUGGGAGGAGCCGUUGCUUCUCUCUUCACCUUAUGCCUGCUAGAUGAAAAUUUAUUAAAACCCAAAUGCCGCCCCUUUUGUAUCACCUUUGGUUCACCCCUCGUCGGCGGCUUUGGCCUCCAACACUCCAUAUGGAAUUCUUUCUUCCUGCAUGUAGUGUCUAACCAAGACCCAGUCCCCGGUCUCUUCCUCCCAUCUGGCAGAGGCAGAUCUACGCCCACAUCCUCCCAUUCACAAACUACCGGUUACAAGCCCUUUGGGACAUAUCUCUUGUGCUCUGAACUUGGUUGUGCUUGUUUUGACAACCCUGAUUUAAUUUUGGAAUUGCUGAAAGUCAUAUCAUCAGAGGUUGCCGGAGGAUUGCAGGAUGUUGAUUAUGGGGAGAUUUUAAGAAACCUCAAGGAGAGGGCAAUCUGCAAGGGACUUCCGCAGGUGGGUGAAAGGUUUGCAAAUCCAUUUUCAGCUGGGAUCAUCAUGGAACUUGAGACAAUUGGAUUUAAUCAAACAAAGGUAAACAGCUUUCUCCCAUCUAAUGAUGUUAUGGAACAUGGUUUACACCUCAUUAAAUACUGCAACAACUGCCCUAUUUAGAUUUACCUUCUUGUUCUUUGGGAUUUUCCAUAACUAGACUCAUUUUUUAAUUUCAUGGCAGCUGCUGCAGCAUAACAUUGAUAUCGAGACUGUGAUAAGCGCAAUGGAAGCGGAAGCAAGAAACCUAACCCAGAAAAAUAAAGCUUCCGAUGCCAAGAAACUGAAUGAAAUAAAAAUAGACAUGACCCGGCUAGAAUUGUAUAAGAAGAAUUCGAACAUGGGUUACUACGAUUGCUUCAAAAACCAGGGGUCUAAAAGGGACAUCCACGUUGAACAGUUUAGGGUAAACCUCACAGGGUACUGGGAAGGCAUGGUUGCACAAAUACAGAGGAAGCCUCAUAAGGAAGGAGCAACAUUUCGAACCCGUUGGCUCUAUGCAGGGACGGUUUAUAGAAGAAUGGUUGAACCACUGGACAUUGCUGCCUUCUACAGAGAGGGUAGAAAAGACUACAUGAAUAAAAGAUCUGCACAUUACAAGCUGUUGCAGGAAUGGUAUGAGGAAGAUGUGAAACCCCCCUCUAGAGAUAAGCUUGAUUCCAAGAAGCAAAAGGUGUCCAGUAUCCUAACUGAGGAUUCUUGCUUUUGGGCACAUGUGGAGGAGGCUAUCUUGUCAUGCGAAUUGCUCAAGAGUGAAAACUGUAAUCUUGAGGAGGGAAAAUCAUCAUGGGAUAAUCUGGUUAAGUUCGAGGAGUAUGUAAUGGAACAGAUUGACAACUAUGCAGUGUCCCCUGAGAUUUUCUUGGAGAAAAGCAGCUUCAUGAAAUGGAGGGGACUGUAUGAGGGCUACAUAGAUACUCGCAGUAAUUCCCAUAGCUCGCCAUUGAUCAGCUUUAUGAAGAAUCGUAGUUAUAGACAAUAUGGAUAGAGGGGUAAUCCAGUUUGUGUGUUGUGUGUAUUGUUUUGUGAGCAUUCAAUGGAUAGAACUAGAAAGAGUGUGACCUUUUCCUUUUUUUUUUCAGUUGCUGCCCAUAUUCUCAGCACUAUUUUCUUCCUUCUUUUCCUCAGUUUUUUUGUUAAGAAAUGAAUAUUAUGAUGUUGCCGGGAUGCACUUUCAUUUUUGUUCCAUUACAUUGUGUUUUAUUCAUAUCCUAAACAAAUAAAUGUAAACAAGAAAAUCAAAUGAGACUUCAAAGAGUCUGUUCCUUUUAAAGCAAGGGAAAAAAAGGACAUGUUUGUUUACUUCCACAGCUGGGUAGAUUCAACUCCACCAAAAUUGGCAACAACUUCCCAUUGAAAAAUUCCUUUUAAGCUUGAAUGACAUAAAACUAGAUAUGUUCCAGCUAGAAUGGUACAAGAAAGAAAUCAAAAGAUGAGCACAAUGGGUUAUUAUGACAGCUUUAGAAACCUGGGGUGUAAAAGAGACAUUAAAAUGGAACCGAGGGGAAGACAUUGUAGAACAAGUAAAGAGGAAGCCUCACCAGGAAGGGCAGCUUUGCAAACCCUCUGGCUCUGUACAGGAACGAAUUAUAGAAAGAUGGUUGAACCACUUGACAUUGCUGCCUACCACAGAGAGGGUGGAAGAAACUACAUAACCAAUGGAGGAUGUAAACAUUACACGCUAUUAGAGCAAUGAUGCAAUGAAGAGAAGGGGACUUUGUCUUCCAAUAAUUUAAGAAAAUAAAACCAAAUAAUGCCAGAAUUUGGGUUGAGAAACACCCAAAAGAUAGUGGCCCAAUAUGAAGUAGUCACAAAACUAGUAACAGCCUUGUGGCCAUAGUUGGUGUAGUAUGAGCAAGUGGGGUAUGAAGUAGGUAGGUGAGUAUUGCAAUGAAAUUUCCAGCACUGCUUCCUGAAUUAAGAAAUCACAUACUCAAGUCUUAAUCGUUGUCAUCAUACCGUGUGAGAACCGAGGAAGAAUCUUUGCUCUUAGACUGGAUUUUGUAGUCUUUCUUUAACAAUUACAAGUUAUCUGAAUUCCCUUCAUCCUCCUAUAUAAUAUUGUUUUUGGUCUUGUUCUUGUUGCAUUGUGGCUAGGCAUCUCCAUGGGAGGAAGGAGGAUGAAUCAAGUUCCUUUGUAUGAAUCAAUUUCUCUGCUCUUUUUUUUUUCAAUCCUUGAAUCGAAUCAUUGCUUAGUUCUUGCUUUAAUUUCUCCAUUUUCUGUUGGGUCUUUGAUUGCAGGUUUAGCUCUGCAAGAAAACUGGGAAAUUUAAUUGUGACCUCCAAUCUAAUCGACUCUGCUUUGACUAAAAUUCUUGAGCUUCAAAGAGACCAAACAGCCUUGCCUUCCCCCGUUCAAUACAGAGUUUUUUAUCCAUCUCCCAACUGCACAAUUGUAGCUUUUGUCUCUUCACCUGACUGCACUCAAAACCCUCUUCCUGGACAAGGAGAUUUAGUUCCCUCUCCUCUCUUUGACUUCCUCUGCACCGAAGAAUACAAGUCCGUCUCCAUUAACAGAGCUGCAUUAACCCUCUUUACCUCUCUCCACGAUCAUCUCUCUGGACUAAAAACUCAGGUCAAAAUAUGAUAGUUGUUUUUAUUUUCGUUUCCUUUUUGUUAACAAUUGGGAGACAUGAAACAGCUUGACCAUGAGAUCUCUCUCAUAGAGUCAAACUACCUGAAGAAGAAGAAGACGUUACACAUAUCCAUCUGCGCUGCAUCAUCGCAUUACCCAUUGAUCGGUUGUGAUUCAACUCUUAAUAGGAAGACAGUAGAACUGGUGUUGGUAUCUGUUUUUAGAUCAGCUUAUAUGUAUCUUGUUGCUAAAAAGGGAAUGUUUAGAAGUGAGAUUAAUGGGAUUAUUCUGACAUGGAUUUCAUAUGGUUACCUGUUUUGCAGUUGACUGUGAUUGAAGGUCGAUUAAUCAUUACUGGGUACUCGAUGGGAGGAUCCGUUGCUUCUCUCUUCACCUUAUGCCUGUUAGAAGUCAUCAAUUUAUCAAAACCCAAAUGCCGCCCCAUUUGUAUCACCUUUGGUUCACCCCUCAUAGGCGACUUUGGCCUCCAACACUCCAAUUGGAAUUCUUUCUUCUUGCAUGUAGUGUCCAACCAAGAUCUAGUCCCCGGACUCUUCCUCCCAUCCGACAGAUCUCCUCCCACAUCCUCCCAUUCACAAACUACUGGUUACAAGCCCUUUGGGACAUAUCUCUUGUGCUCUGAACUUGGUUGUGCUUGUUUUGACAACUCUGAUUUAAUUUUGGAAUUGCUGAAAGUCAUAUCAUCAGAGGUUGCCAGAGGAUUGCGGGAUGUUGAUUACAGGAAGAUUUUAAGAAACCUCAAGGAGAGGGCAAUCUGCAAGGGACUUCCGCAGGUGGGUGAAAGGUUUGCAAAUCCAUUUUCAGCUGGGAUCAUCAUGGAACUUGAGACGAUUGGAUUUAAUGAAACAAAGGUAAACAGCUUUCUCCCAUCUACUGAUGUUAUGGAACAUGGUUUACACAUCAUUAAAUACUGCAACAACUGCCCUAUUUAGAUUUAGGGCAAUGAUGAAAAUAUCAGUAAUCACGGAUAUAUCAGUAUUUCGAUUUUACGGAUAUAUCGGAUAUAUCGGAGAUAUAUCGGUAGAUAUUUUGAAAAAAAAUAUCGGCAAGCUUAAAAUUGUUAAAAACUCAUGAAAAUAUAAGAAAAUCUCAUAAUAAUAUAAUUAAAAGUAUAAUAGACAUUUUAAAGUUAUUUUAUUGAAAAUUUUGAUAUAUGUAUAACAUGAUUUAUCAUAUUUGAUAAUAAUAUCGUAUGCGUCGAUAAAAAUAUGAAUUUUAUAAGUGUACAUUUAUUAUUAAAUUACACCUAAUAUUAUGAUAUCUGAUUAUAAUAUGUCUAAUUUUAAAAUAUAUAUUAGUAUUAAAAUAUGAUCCAUUUAAUUCAAUUGUAUUAAACAAUAUAAAAUAAAUAAUGAUAUAUAUAUAUAUAUAUAUAAUUUUUUAAUAUUUAAUUAAUUAUUAAUGAUAUUAAAAACAUUAUGAAGAAAAUUAUAUAAUUUUUUAAUUUUUGGUAAUUAAUUAAAAGACUUUGCAUUUAAUUAUAAAUUAAUUAUAAUUAAUUUACUCUUUAAAAUAUUCUUAUAUUUUCUUUAUAUAAUGAAUUUAAGUAUAUAUAUAGUUGUUGCAUAUUAUAUAUUAAAGGACAACUUAGCCCAAGUGGUAAGCGAGUGAACCCCAAUGUGAGGCAUUGUAGCACGUGCACUGUAGCAUCACUGUAGCGACUCUGACUUUCGUUGACCCGCAUUGACUACACGAUAUAUCGGAGAAAAAUCACUGAUUUAUCGCCAAAUCACCAAUAAAUCGCCGAUUUCUCGCGAUAAAUACCAAAAUAUAGUGUCGAAACCCUUCGAUACACGAUUUUUCGGCGCAUUUUCUUACUUGGAUUUACCUUUUUGUUCUUUGGGAUCUUCCAUGACUCAUUUUUUAAUGCCAUUUUAUUUUCCUUUUUGUUUCUAAAUUUUUAAAAAAUCGUUUUCACUUCUUUUUUUUAAGAAAAUUUUGGCAAAUUUUGAAAAUAUAAUAUUAGUGUUUUCACUUCUUUCUUUUUUUUUUUUUUCUUUUUUUUUUUAAACUCAAUUUUCUAAAAAAUGAAAAUAGAAAAACAUUGUCUAAACAUGUUUGUAAACUUAAUUUUAUUUUUUUAUAAAUGAAAAAAAAAAUCUAAAUGAGUAAGGCUUUAUUAAUUUUAAUUUUUUUCUUUUCCUUAUAUUUUCUUAUUUUAUUCCAAAUUUUCUUGCAACCAAACAUAAUCUAAAUGUUUACAACUUUUAUUGUAAGGAAUGAAUGACACUACUUUGUGAACUUUUAUGAUAAUAUUUUGAAUCAUAAAUUGUGUUUUUUUUAGUAAUAUCAAUUUUAUUACCAAUGACUUAAUUGUUAAUAACAAAAUAUAAUAUUUAUAAAUAUUUUUAUUCUCAACAGGCUACAAUUUUUACUCUUGUGAUAAAAAAAAUUUUGUCAUAAAUUACACAUUAUGAUGAGUUUUUCUAUUUUCCUUAUCAGCCAAUUCAACAAAUAUCAUAUAUAUUGUAAUGGCUAACAAAUUUUCACAUAAAUUUUUUAUAAGAUAAAGUAGAAUGGAAUUAUUCAAUUUCAAAAAAAAAAAAAAUGGUACCUAAUGAAAAAGAUAAAAUAUAUAGAUCAUCUCGAAGAAAUCAGGAAAGAUAAAUGAUGAGACCAUAUAUAGGACCCUUGAUGGAGACUAUUUUAAUUGAAGUGGUGUGCUCCUUCCGACUCAGAACAUGUUCAGCAUUGCACACAAACUAACAUCGUCGAUCUUGAGUAUGAAAAAGGUGAUUAGAUUCCAAGGUUGUCGUUUGUCCCAACUCCUCAUAUUAGAGGUGAUGCUCAAGCUAACGUGCCUCGCAGUUGAGCCCCGGCCAAUCGGUCUAAUAUGCUUUUCCAAUGGUGAGUUUCACUGCCACCAUGUAUUACAUUAAUUCCGAUAGCGCACAAGUUGUGUUUGUGCUAUUGCUUUUUGCCCUCACAAACAUAUACACAAGAGACAUUCAGACCAGAUCUGUUCUACCAUCCUCUAGGAAAGCAUUGUAGGUCAUUUGAAAUUGGGAUUUCAGCACCAGAGUCAAAUUGCCUUCCUUCCUGAAAGAUGAGCAUUUUUUAUACUCUUACAUCGGCUUUUAUGGAAAUGAAAUCAGCUUCUCAUUCUGUUACAUUUUUCAAUUUUGCUGCCUAUAACUGCUCACUGCCUGUUUGUGAGACAUUAUCCAGAUUUUCCCUGAUCAAUUAUAGAGAGGUCAUUGGACUCAUCCAUGAUUGGAAUUUCCUGUUAUCAUUAUUUGCAAAUCAUCAACCAUUUGUCAUGAUAUCUUAAGUUAAGCUGAGCACGAAUUUCAGCUAAGAUCCUCAGAACUAGAAAUAUGCACUGCAGGUAUUACUUGAUAUGUGAAUAUCCAAUACAAUAUUUUUUUACUAAGAGGAAUACGAAUUUGAAACACUUUCCAAUAAUUUAUCAAGUCAUAUUUUCGUGCUGUCGUGAUACAUGUGUCUACUGUAUGCAUGGCUUUUCUUUUCUACACAUGCCUUUAUCUUUGCACAUGACUCUUUUGAUACACGCCAGCAUCAAGGCAAUUGCCUAAAUCUAAAUCACAUCCUUUGUGUCACGUCUUCCUUGUUACCACGGUCCUCUUGUACACCAUGGUCCCUUAAUGUAACUUGUGCCACAAGCCCUUUGUGCAUGAAUUCAAAUUGUUCAAUCAUUUCGCCAUUUACACCUUUUAAGGUCCAAUAAGCGUAUACAAGAGACUACACUCAUUCUAGAUGAUAAAGUACAUUCAACUAACUACUCUUGCUAAUGAGCAUAUCCAAGUCAAUACAUAAGAUUAAUUAUUACAUAUGGUAAUUGAAACCCUGUUUAAAUAAAUAGUGACACAAAUAUAAAAAAUAUAUAUAUUUAAAAAUAAAUAAAUAACAAUUUAGAGAAUUUCAUAACUUAGUAUCAAACCUAUUGUAGGAAAGAGUAUUAUACAAUGUAGGGUUUAGGAUCAAAGUUAACCUAAGAUCAAUUUUAAGUUUUAAGACCAAUUCAAAUUCAAAACUAAGGUUUUAAGUUUCAAAAAUAUAUCUCUUAAACCAAUUAAAUAGAAAAAAGAAAAUUACAAAGAAAAUUUCUUCCUCAUCGGUUUCUUUUAUCUUGAAAACUAAAGGAAAUAUAUAUCAAUAUUUGAGAUGGAAAUUCAUAAUCUUAGAAACACAAAGAACAAAGAGAGUAUGAAGAGACCAUACCAUGAGAGAUUUUCCAAAAGGUUGGUAAACCAUGGUAAUCACCUUUGAGUUUUGCUGAGAAAAACAAACCUUAAUUUUUAUUUUUAUUUUUUUAUCAUUUUUUCUCUUGUGGUGUACAUUUAAGAAAAACAAAUCUUAAAAAAAAAAAAAAAAAAACCAAAUAAUGCCAGAAUUUGGGUUGAGAAACACCCAAAAGAUAGUGGCCCAAUACAUGUGCCUAAGAAAAUCUUCAUGAGCCGAUAAACAUAGUCACAAAACUAGUAACAGCCUUGUAGCCAUAGUUGGUGUAGUAUGAGCAAGUGGGGUAUGAAGUAGGUAGGUGAGUAUUGCAAUGAAAUUUCCAGCACUGCUUCCUGAAUUAAGAAAUCACAUACCCAAGUCUUAGUCGUCGUCGUCGUACCGUGUGAGAACCGGGAAGAAUCUUUGCUCGUAGAGUGGCUUUUGUAGUCUUUCUUUAACAAUUACAAGUUAUCUGAAUUCCCUUCAUCCUCCUAUAUAAUAUUGUUUUUGGUCUUGUUCUUGUUGCAUUGUGGCUAGGCAUCUCCAUGGAAGGAAGGAGGAUGAAUCAAGUUCCUUUGUAUGAAUCAAUUUCUCUGCUCUUUUUCUUUUCAAUCCGUGAAUCGAAUCAUUGCUUAGUUCUUGCUUUAAUUUCUCCAUUUUCUGUUGGGUCUUUGACUGCAGGUUUAGCUCUGCAAGAGAACUGGGAAAUUUAAUGGUGACCUCCAAUCUAAUCGACUCUGCUUUGACUAAAAUUCUUGAGCUUCAAAGAGACCAAACAGCCUUGCUUUCCUCCGUUCAAUACAGAGUUUUUUAUCCAUCUCCCAAGUGCACAAUUGUAGCUUUUGUCUCUUCACCUGACUGCACUCAAAACCCUCUUCCUGGACAAGGAGAUUUAGUUCCGUCUCCUCUCUUUGACUUCCUCUGCACCGAAGAAUACAAGUCCGUCUCCAUUAACAGAGCUGCAUUAACCCUCUUUACCUCUUUCCACGAUCAUCUCUCUGGACUAAAAACUCAGGUCAAAAUAUGAUAGUUGUUUUUAUUUUCGUUUCCUUUUUGUUAACAAUUGUGAGACAUGAAACAGCUUGACCAUGAGAUCUCUCUCAUAGAGUCAAACUACCUGAAGAAGAAGAAGACGUUACACAUAUCCAUCUGCGUUGCAUCAUCGCAUUACCCAUUGAUCGGUUGUGAUUCAACUCUUAAUAGGAAGACAGUAGAACUGGUGUUGGUAUCUGUUUUUAGAUCAGCUUAUAUGUAUCUUGUUUCUAAAAAAGGUAAGUUUAGAAGUGAGAUUAAUGGGAUUAUUCUGACAUGGAUUCCAUAUGGUUACCUGUUUUGCAGUUGACUCAGAUUGAAGGUCAAUUAAUCAUCACUGGGCACUCCCUGGGAGGAUCCGUUGCUUCUCUCUUCACCUUAUGCCUGCUAGAUGGAAAUUUAUUAAAACCCAACUGCCGCCCCUUUUGUAUCACCUUUGGUUCACCCCUCAUCGGCGGCUUUGGCCUCCAACACUCCAUAUGGAAUUCUUUCUUCCUGCAUGUAGUGUCUAACCAAGACCCAGUCCCCGGUCUCUUCCUCCCAUCUGGCAGAGGCAGAUCUACGCCCACAUCCUCCCAUUCACAAACUACCGGUUACAAGCCCUUUGGGACAUAUCUCUUGUGCUCUGAACUUGGUUGUGCUUGUUUGGAAAAGCCUGAUUUAAUUUUGGGAUUGCUGAAAGUCAGAUCAUCCGAGGUUGCCGGAGGAUUGCAGGAUGUUGAUUAUGGGGAGAUUUUAAGAAACCUCAAGGAGAGGGCAAUCUGCAAGGGACUUCAGCAGGUGGGUGAAAGGUUUGCAGAUCCUUUUACAGCUGGGAUCAUCAUGGACCUUGAGAUAAUUGGAUUUGAUCAAACAAAGGUAAACAGCUAGCUUUCUCCCAUCUAAUGAUGUUAUGAAACAUGGUUUACACUUCACCAAAUACUGCAACAACUGCCCUAUUUAGAUUUGCCGUCUUGUUCUUUGGGAUCUUCCAUAACUAGACUCAUUUUUUAAUUUCAUGGCAGCUGCUGCAGCAUAACAUUGAUAUCGAGACUGUGAUAAGCACAAUGGAAGAGGAAGCCAGAAACCCAACCAAAAAAAAUAAAGCUUUCGAUGCCAAGAUUCUGAAUCACAAAAAAAAAGACAUGGCCGGGCUAGAAUGGUAUAAGAAGAAAUCAAAAGAUCUGAACAAGGGUUACUACGACUGCUUCAAAAACCAGGGGUCAAAAAGGGACAUUAAAAUUGAACAGUAUGGGGGACACCUCACAUUAUACUGGAAAGACAUGGUUGCACAAGUACAGAGGAAGCCCCAGAAGGAAGGAGCAACAUUUCGAACCCGUUGGCUCUAUGCAGGGACGGUUUAUAGAAGAAUGGUUGAACCACUGGACAUUGCUGCCUUCUACGUAGAGGGUGGAACAGACUACAUGAAGAAUGAAAGAUCUCUUCAUUACAAGCUGUUGCAGCAAUGGUAUGAGGAAGAUGUGAAACCCCCCUCUAAGGAUAAGCUUGAUUCCAAGAAGCAAAAGGUGUCUGGUAUCCUAACUGAGGAUUCUUGCUUUUGGGCACAUGUGGAGGAGGCUAUCUUGUCAUGCGAAUUGCUUAAGAGUGAAAACUGUACUCUUGAGCAGGAAAAAUCAUCAUGGGAUAAUCUGGUUAAGUUCGAGGAGUAUGUAAUGGAACAGAUUAACAACUAUGCAGUGUCCCCUGAGAUUUUCUUGGGGGAAAGCAGCUUCAUGAAAUGGUGGGGACUGUAUGAGGGCUACAUAUAUGCUCGCAGUAAUUCCCAUAGGUCACCAUUGAUCAGCUUUAUGAAGAACGGUAGUUAUACAGAGUAUCGUUAGAGGGGUAAUCCAGUUUGUGUGUUGUGUGUAUUGUUUUGUGAGCAUUCAAUGGAUAGAACUAGAAAGAGUGUGACCUUUUUCCUUUUUUUCUUCUAGUUGCUGCCCAUAUUCUCAGCACUAUUUUCUUCCUUCUUUUCCUCAGUUUUUUCUUAAGAAAUGAAUAUUAUGAUGUUGCUGGGAUGCACUUUCAUUUUUGUUCCAUUACAUUGUGUUUUAUUCAUAUCCUAAACAAAUAAAUGUAAACAAGAAAAUCAAAUAAGACUUCAAAGAGUCUGUUCCUUUUAAAGCAAGGGAAAAAAAGGACAUGUUUGUUUACUUCCACAGCUGGGUAGAUUCAACUCCACCAAAAUUGGCAACAACUUCCCAUUGAAAAAUUCCUUCUAAGCUUGAAUGACAUAAAACUAGAUAUGUUCCAGCUAGAAUGGUACAAAAAAGAAAUCAAAAGAUGAGCACAAUGGGUUAUUAUGACAGCUUUAGAAACCAUCUUACAACACAUCCAUCAGAAUUUAGACUAUUCAUAGAAACAUUCUUAACAUGUAAAUCUACUAUUGCCAUGCACGUCAACAUAGAAUUUCUAAAAUGAUUGAAUAAAAUAAAUAAAACAAAAGAAACCCUUCCAAGAGAAUUUCAUAAUCUAAUGUCAAAUCUAUUACGAAGAUGAACAUGUAAAAUUUAAGGUUUAUAAUCAAAGUCGACUUGAAUCUGAGUUUUAAAACCAAUUUGCAGUUUUUAAGUUUGGAGACUAGAUCUCUUAAACCAAUUAAAUGUAAAAAACUAAAAAGAAAACUUCUUCAAAUUUUGAAAUGAGAAUGAGAAUGCAAUUCCUAACUAGUUUCUUCAUCAAAAAUCCCGAAAAAAAAAAAAAAAGAAGAGAGAGAGAGACCAUAGACGCCAGUGUUUGGGUUUAGAACCACCCAAGAGAGAGUAGUCCAAUAUAUGGGCUUAAGAAAAUCCUCAUGGGCCUAAGCUAAGACUAGGAACAAUCUUGUAUCCGUGGUUGGUUUAGUAUGAGCAUGUGUACUGCGAAGGAAGUAGCUGAGAAUUGCAAUGGAAUUUCCAGUACUGCUUCCUGAACGAACAAAUCGCAUACCCAAGAUUUGGUCGUCAACGCCAUGCUGGGUGAGAACCGGGGAAGCAUCUUCGCUCGUUGACGAGCUUUUGUAGUCCUUCUUUAACAAUUAUAAGGCAUCUGAAUUCCCUUCAUCCUCCCACACCAUUGUUUUUGGUCUUGUUCUUGUUGCUUUGUGACUACGCAUCUCCAUGGAAGGAAGGAGGAUGAACCAAGUUCCUUUGUAUGCAUCAAUUUUACUGUUUUUUUUUUCCUUUUUAAUCUUUGGAUCGAAUCAUUGCUUAGUUCUUGCUUAAUUUCUCCAUUUUAUGUUGGGUCUUUGAUUGCAGGUUUAGCUCUGCGCGAGAACUGGGAAAUUUAAUUGUGACCUCCAAUCUAAUCGACUCUGCUUUGACUAAAAUUCUUGAGCUUCAAAGAGACCAAACAGCCUUGCCUUCCCCCGUUCAAUACAGAGUUUUUUAUCCAUCUCCCAAGUGCACAAUUGUAGCUUUUGUCUCUUCACCUGACUGCACUCAAAACCCUCUUCCUGGACAAGGAGAUUUAGUUCCCUCUCCUCUCUUUGACUUCCUCUGCACCGAAGAAUACCCUUCCGUCUCCAUUAACGGAGCCGCAUUAACCCUCUUUACCUCUCUCUACGAUCAUCUCUCUGGACUAAUAGAUGAGGUCAAAAUCUGAUACUUGUUUUAAUUUACGUUAACUUUUCGUUAACAAUUGUGAGACACGUAUAUAUAUAUAUAUAUAUAUAUAUCUUGUGGAUAAAAGGAAAGUUUACAAGUGAGAAUAGUGGCAUUUUUCUGACAGAUUUCACACCGUUGCUUGUUUUGCACUUGACUGUGAUUGAAGGUCGAUUAAUCAUCACUGGGCACUCGAUGGGAGGAUCCGUUGCUUCUCUCUUCACCUUAUGCCUGCUAGAAGUCAUUAAUAUAUCAAAACCCAAAUGCCGCCCCAUUUGCAUCACAUUUGGUUCACCCCUCAUAGGCGACUUUGGCUUCCAACACUCCAAUUGGAAUUCUUUCUUCUUGCAUGUAGUGUCCAACCAAGAUCUAGUCCCCGGACUCUUCCUCCCAUCCGGCAGAUCUCCUCCCACAUCCUCCCAUUCACAAACUACUGGUUACAAGCCCUUUGGGACAUAUCUCUUGUGCUCUGAACUUGGUUGUGCUUGUUUUGACAACCCUGAUUUAAUUUUGGAAUUGCUGAAAGUCAUAUCAUCAGAGGUUGCCGGAGGAUUGCGGGAUGUUGAUUACAGGAAGAUUUUAAUAAACCUCAAGGAGAGGGCAAUCUUCAAGGGACUUCAGCAGGUGGGUGAAAGGUUUGCAGAUCCCUUGUCAGCUGGGAUCAUCAUGGACCUUGAGAUAAUUGGAUUUGAUCAAACAAAGGUAAACAGCUUUCUCCCAAUUAAUGAUGUAGCAUGGUUUACACUCAACUUCACCAAAACCUGCAACAACUGCCCUAUUUAGAUUUGCCUUCCGGUUCUUUGGGUUCUUCUAUAACUUCUCAUUUUUUAAAUCCAUGGCAGCUGUUGCGGCACAACAUUGAUAUCAACACUGUGAUAAGGAUACUGGGAGCGGAAGCCAGAAUCCUAGCCCACAAAAAUAAAGCUUCUGAUGCCAAGAAACUGAAUGACAUAAAAAUACACAUGGCCCAGCUAGAAUGGUAUAAGAAGAAAUCAAAAGAUCUGAACAAGGGUUACUACGACUGCUUCAAAAACCAGGGGUUAAAAAGGGACAUUAAAAUUGAACAGUAUAGGGGACACCUCACAAUAUACUGGAAAGACAUGGUUGCACAAGUACAGAGGAAGCCCCAGAAGGAAGGAGCAUCAUUUCGAACCAGUUGGCUCUAUCCAGGGACAACUUAUAGAAGAAUGGUUGAACCACUGGACAUUGCUGCCUUCUACAGAGAGGGUAGAACAGACUACAUAAACAAUGGAAGAUCUCCUCAUUACAAGCUGUUGCAGCAAUGGUAUGAGGAAGAUGUGAAGCCCCCAUCCAGAGAUAAGCUCGAUUCCAAGAAACUAAAGGUGUCUGGUAUCCUAACUGAGGAUUCUUUGUUUUGGGCACAUGUGGAGGAGGCUCUCUUGUCAUGCGAAUCGCUCAAGAGUGCAAACUCUACUCUUGAGCAGAGAAAAUCAUCAUGGGAUAAUCUGGUUAAGUUUGGGGAGUAUGUAAUGGAACAGAUUGGAAACUAUGCAGUGUCCCCUGAGAUUUUCUUGGGGGAAAGCAGCUUCAUGAAAUGGUGGGGAGUGUAUGAGGACUACAUAGAUGCUUCCAAUAAUUUCUAUGGGUCACCAUUGAUCAACUUUAUGAAGGACCGUAGUUAUAGACUGUAUGGUUAGAGGGCAAUCCAGUUUGUGUAUUGUGUUUAUUGUAUUGUGAGCAUUCAAUAGAUAAAACUAGAAAGAGCGUGACCUUUUUAUGACAACUUUAGAAACCAGGGGUUAAAAGAGACAUUACAAAUUGAAUUUUUUGAGAGGAAACCUCAAGAGUAUACUGGGAAGCCAUGGUGGAACAAGUAGAGAGGAAGCUUCGGAAGGAAGGAUCAAUGGUUGAACCACUUGACAUUGUUGCCUACUUCAGGGAGGGUGUAAGAAACAACAUAACCGAGGGAAGAUCUGAACAUUAAACAUUGUACAAUUAUUGUAAAUGUCUUAUACAUUACGUGUGAAAAUACCAAAAAAAAUUAUAUUCAACAUUUAUGUUUGUAUACAAGCAAUAUUUUGGAUAGUUUGAUAUAAAAAACAAAUGAAGAAAACGAAGAAAAACAUACAAAUAUAUUUACAAUGGACAAACUUAUACAAUUAGUGUAAAUGUCUUGUAUAUUUAGUACAAAAGUCUCGUACUUUGUAAAAAUAUAAAAAUAUAGUAUUUGACUUUUAUAUAUGUGUGAAAAUGUAAAAGGAAAAAGAAAAAUAGUUAGAGCAUUUGGUACCGUGAGUGAUGACUUCACCUAAAGAAAGGUUAAUGAAUAUUAUGGUCUCGAUGGAAGAGCGACUCCGGUAAAAUAUAUGGAUUAAAUUGAUGCUUUUCUUUUGACGAUGAAGUAGUUGAGUUAUGAAUACGAGGUUUUGCUAACAACAUUGAAGGCAAGGAUUCCCUAAUAUACUCCAAUUCAUAUUCAAUUUGUAGACCUUCAACUAACUACUCUUGCUAAUGAGCAUAUCCAAGUGAAUACAUAAGAUUAAUUAUUACAUAUGAUAAUUGAAACCCUGUUUAAAUAAAUAGUGACACAAAUAUAAAAAAUAUAUAUAUUUAAAAAUAAAUAAAUAAUAAUUUAGAGAAUUUCAUAACUUAGCAUCAAACCUAUUGUAGGAAAGAGUAUUAUACAAUGUAGGGUUUAGGAUCAAAGUUAACCUAAGAUCAAAUUUAAGUCUUAAGACCAAUUCACAUUCAAAACUAAGGUUUUAAAUUUCAAAAAUAUAUCUCUUAAACCAAUUAAAUGGAAAAAAGAAAAUUACAAAGAAAAUUUCUUCCUCAUCGGUUUCUUUUAUCUUGAAAACUAAAGGAAAUAUAUAUCAAUAUUUGAGAUGGAAAUUCAUAAUCUUAGAAACACAAAGAACAAAGAGAGUAUGAAGAGACCAUACCAUGAGAGAUUUUCCAAAAGGUUGGUAAACCAUGGUAAUCACCUUUGAGUUUUGCUGAGAAAAACAAACCUUAAUUUUUAUUUUUAUUUUUUUAUCAUUUUUUCUCUUGUGGUGUACAUUUAAGAAAAACAAAUCUUAAAAAAAAAAAAAAAAAAACCAAAUAAUGCCAGAAUUUGGGUUGAGAAACACCCAAAAGAUAGUGGCCCAAUACAUGUGCCUAAGAAAAUCUUCAUGAGCCGAUAAACAUAGUCACAAAACUAGGAACAGCCUUGUAGCCAUAGUUGGUGUAGUAUGAGCAAGUGGGGUAUGAAGUAGGUAGGUGAGUAUUGCAAUGAAAUUUCCAGCACUGCUUCCUGAAUUAAGAAAUCACAUACUCAAGUCUUAAUCGUUGUCAUCAUACCGUGUGAGAACCGAGGAAGAAUCUUUGCUCUUAGACUGGAUUUUGUAGUCUUUCUUUAACAAUUACAAGUUAUCUGAAUUCCCUUCAUCCUCCUAUAUAAUAUUGUUUUUGGUCUUGUUCUUGUUGCAUUGUGGCUAGGCAUCUCCAUGGGAGGAAGGAGGAUGAAUCAAGUUCCUUUGUAUGAAUCAAUUUCUCUGCUCUUUUUUUUUUCAAUCCUUGAAUCGAAUCAUUGCUUAGUUCUUGCUUUAAUUUCUCCAUUUUCUGUUGGGUCUUUGAUUGCAGGUUUAGCUCUGCAAGAAAACUGGGAAAUUUAAUUGUGACCUCCAAUCUAAUCGACUCUGCUUUGACUAAAAUUCUUGAGCUUCAAAGAGACCAAACAGCCUUGCCUUCCCCCGUUCAAUACAGAGUUUUUUAUCCAUCUCCCAAGUGCACAAUUGUAGCUUUUGUCUCUUCACCUGACUGCACUCAAAACCCUCUUCCUGGACAAGGAGAUUUAGUUCCCUCUCCUCUCUUUGACUUCCUCUGCACCGAAGAAUACAAGUCCGUCUCCAUUAACAGAGCUGCAUUAACCCUCUUUACCUCUCUCCACGAUCAUCUCUCUGGACUAAAAACUCAGGUCAAAAUAUGAUAGUUGUUUUUAUUUUCGUUUCCUUUUUGUUAACAAUUGUGAGACAUGAAACAGCUUGACCAUGAGAUCUCUCUCAUAGAGUCAAACUACCUGAAGAAGAAGAAGACGUUACACAUAUCCAUCUGCGCUGCAUCAUCGCAUUACCCAUUGAUCGGUUGUGAUUCAACUCUUAAUAGGAAGACAGUAGAACUGGUGUUGGUAUCUGUUUUUAGAUCAGCUUAUAUGUAUCUUGUUGCUAAAAAGGGAAAGUUUAGAAGUGAGAUUAAUGGGAUUAUUCUGACAUGGAUUUCAUAUGGUUACCUGUUUUGCAGUUGACUGUGAUUGAAGGU